GACGAACGCUGGCGGCGUGCUUAACACAUGCAAGUCGAACGGAAAGGCCCUGCUUUUGUGGGGUGCUCGAGUGGCGAACGGGUGAGUAACACGUGAGUAACCUGCCCUUGACUUUGGGAUAACUUCAGGAAACUGGGGCUAAUACCGGAUAGGAGCUCCUGCUGCAUGGUGGGGGUUGGAAAGUUUCGGCGGUUGGGGAUGGACUCGCGGCUUAUCAGCUUGUUGGUGGGGUAGUGGCUUACCAAGGCUUUGACGGGUAGCCGGCCUGAGAGGGUGACCGGCCACACUGGGACUGAGAGACGGCCCAGACUCCUACGGGAGGCAGCAGUGGGGAAUAUUGCACAAUGGGCGGAAGCCUGAUGCAGCAACGCCGCGUGCGGGAUGACGGCCUUCGGGGUGUAAACCGCUUUCGCCUGUGACGAAGCGUGAGUGACGGUAAUGGGUAAAGAAGCACCGGCUAACUACGUG
rnacentral:rRNA from 1 species